rnacentral:rRNA from 1 species
UACAGAGGUCUCAAGCGUUGUUCGGAUUCAUUGGGCGUAAAGGGCGCGUAGGCGGUCAGCACAAGUCAGUUGUGAAAUCUCCGGGCUUAACUCGGAAAGGUCAACUGAUACUGUGCGACUAGAGUGCAGAAGGGGCAACUGGAAUUCUCGGUGUAGCGGUGAAAUGCGUAGAUAUCGGGAGGAACACCAGUGGCGAAGGCGACUACCUGGCCUGUUCUUGACGCUGAGGCGCGAAAGCUAGGGGAGCAAACGGGG